GGCAAACAGACGCAUAACUGUGCAUUGUUCUUUGGGAUUUUGAGAGCCUUCAUCUCAAUUUCAACUUUAAAGCAGCUUAAUCUUUAAGGAACAUAUCUCUGAUCUGGGUAAUUUGUAGAACUUAAUUUGAGGGUCAUUACAUGUGAGGAUAGCAGGAGUUGAAGAUGCCAAGGACCUGAAGGGCUACUGGAGGGACAGGUGAAGUGAUUUGAAGAUGUAGCAUUUUGAAUCUCUUUCUGGCCCAUCCUCUGCUUCACACCAGAAUCAUUGUGACCUGUAGACCUGCAAAACAAAGGACCAAAGCCAGCUGACUACCUUGUUGAAGAGAAACAUUUCACAACGCUUGUAUGCUUCAUUGUUGUUUUGGGAGGUGCACCAAAUUGUCUACCCUCUUCUAAGAACAUCAAGUUUUUCACUUUAUUCUUACUUUUCACCUUUAAUUAUAUUUAUGGUUGCUUUGGAUGUAGAAUUUUAUACACUCAAGAAAAUGUUUUGGCAGGUUGAUAAUUUCUGCUUCUUUUUAAAAACUAGUUUAGUCCAUUAGUAUUUAUUGUAAUUAAAAAUAGAUUUAGAAGAGAAAAGAUUUGAACAGAUUUGAGACACCAAGGAAGAUAUAUGGAUGGAAUAAAAGCACUUGGAAAGACGCUCAACAUCCUAAGUCAUUAGAGAAAUACACACUAAAACCACAAUGAGAUACCACUAUGUACCUAUUGGAAUAGCAACAACAAACCUGUUAAUGCCAAGUGCUGGUGAAGAUAUG
rnacentral:sRNA from 1 species